rnacentral:rRNA from 1 species
UACAGAGGUCCCAAGCGUUGUUCGGAUUCAUUGGGUUUAAAGGGAGCGUAGGUGGCCUUAUAAGUCAGUGGUGAAAUCUCUGGGCUUAACCCAGAAAUUGCCAUUGAUACUGUAGGGCUUGAGUAUAGUUGCCGUUGGCGGAAUAUGACAUGUAGUGGUGAAAUACAUAGAGAUGUCAUAGAACACCGAUUGCGAAGGCAGCUAACGAAACUAUAACUGACACUGAGGCUCGAAAGUGCGGGGAUCAAACAGG